CCUCGAUAAACACCAUGUUGGCCACGGUGUUCCAGGAGUAGGGGUUGGCGGACAGGGUCAGGUCCUUGUUGUCGGUGCGGAAAGGACCCUGUUCAGUGAGGAAACCUAGCAGACCGGAGCAUCCGGGACCUCCGUUAGUCCAGAAAGCGACUGGG
rnacentral:SRP_RNA from 14 species